rnacentral:tRNA from 1 species
GGAUAUAGCUCAGUUGAUAGAGUGCCUGCCUUGCAUGCACAAGGCCCUGGGUUCAAUCCCCAGAACCA